rnacentral:rRNA from 1 species
AUGCACGCUGGCGGCGUGCCUCACACCUGCAAGUCGCGCGGCAGCGAGGGGUGCUUGCACCCUGUCGGCGAGCGGCGGACGGCUGAGUAACGCGUGGGAACGUGCCCCAAAGUGAGGAAUAACUGCCCGAAAGGGUAGCUAAUACCGCAUAUUAUCUUCGGAUCAAAGGAUUUAUCCGCUUUGGGAGCGGCUCGCGUCGGAUUAGGUAGUUGGUGAGGUAAUGGCUCACCAAGCCGACGAUCCGUAGCUGGUCUGAGAGGAUGACCAGCCAGACUGGAACUGAGACACGGUCCAGACUCCUACGGGAGGCAGCAGUGAGGAAUCUUCCACAAUGGGCGAAAGCCUGAUGGAGCAACGCCGCGUGCAGGACGAAGGCCUUCGGGUUGUAAACUGCUUUUAUAAGUGAGGAAUAUGACGGUAACUUAUGAAUAAGGAUCGGCUAACUACGUG